rnacentral:rRNA from 1 species
GUAACGCGUGGAUAAUCUACCCUCAAGAACCGAGAAUAGCUGCGGGAAACUGGAGGUAAUACCGGGAUAACAUCUUCGAAAUCAAAUGGUGUGAUUCCGCUCGAGGAUCGGACUGCGUACUAUUAGCUUGUGGCGGGGUAAUGGCCCACCAAGGCUGCGAUGGUUACCGGGUGUGAGAGCAUGUCCCGGCUCACUGGGACUGAGACACGCCCAGACACCUACGGGUGGCUGCAGUCGAGAAUCUUUCGGCAAUGGACAAAAAGUCUGACCGAGCGACGCCGCGUGCGGGGAUGAAGGCCCUCGGGGUUGUAAAACCGCUGUCAGUUAGGAGGAAAUCCAUGGGGGGUUAUCCCCUGUGGUUGACCGAUUUUCAGAGGAAGGACGGGCUAAGUUCGUGCCAGCAGCCGCGGUAACACGAACCGUCCAAACGUUAUUCGGUAUCACUGGGCUUAAAGCGUGCGUAGGCGGCUUGGUAGGAGAGAUGUGAAAUCCCACGGCUCAACCGUGGAAUUCCGUUUCAAACCCCCAAGCUCGAGGAAGAUAGGGGUAAUGGGAACUUCUGGUGAGCGGUAAAUGCGUUGAUAUCAUAGGGACACCAUGGCGAAGGCGCAUCACUGGAUCUUUUCUGACGCUAGGCACGUGGGCUAGGGUAGCGAACGGGAUUAAUACCCCGGUACUCCUAGCCGUGACGAUGAACACUGGGUUGAGGGCACCUCCACCUCCUCUCUGCCGUAGCGAAAGCGUUAAGUGUUCCGCCUGGGG